CAUUAAAAAUCUCAUCCAUUUCUUAUGUUAAAAAUUGGGUUAGCUAACGAAAUAACUAAACAGUUAUACAUAGGUGUCACGUGUACAUCAUGCUGACGUACAUAGAGCAGUUUUUAAUACUAAGGGAAUGGUAUUUUUAAUA
rnacentral:pre_miRNA from 1 species